CCUACGGGAGGCAGCAGUGAGGAAUAUUGGUCAAUGGACGCGAGCCUGAACCAGCCAAGCCGCGUGAAGGAUGACGGCUCUAUGAGUUGUAAACUUCUUUUGUACGGGCAUAAAGACAGGCACGCGUACCUGUUUGUAUGUACCGUACGAAUAAGCAUCGGCUAACUCCGUGCCAGCAGCCGCGGUAAUACGGAGGAUUCGAGCGUUAUCCGGAUUUAUUGGGUUUAAAGGGUGCGUAGGUGGUCGGUUAAGUAAGAGGUGAAAGCCUGGGGCUCAACCUCGAAAUUGCCGUUGAUACUGUCCGGCUUGAGUUGAGUUGAGGUAGGCGGAAGGCGUGGUGUAGCGGUGAAAUGCAUAGAGAUCACGCAGAACUCCGAUUGCGAAGGCAGCUUACCAAGCUACCACUGACGUUGAGGCACGAAAGCGUGGGGAGCAAACAGGAUUAGAUACCCUGGUAGUC
rnacentral:rRNA from 1 species